GCCGCAAGGCUGAAACUCAAAGGAAUUGACGGGGGCCCGCACAAGCGGUGGAGCAUGUGGUUUAAUUCGAAGCAACGCGAAGAACCUUACCAGGUCUUGACAUCUCCUGACAACCCUAGAGAUAGGGCGUUCCCCUUCGGGGGACAGGAUGACAGGUGGUGCAUGGUUGUCGUCAGCUCGUGUCGUGAGAUGUUGGGUUAAGUCCCGCAACGAGCGCAACCCUUGAUCUUAGU
rnacentral:rRNA from 1 species